GGUCCAAAUUUGAAGUGGAGUAGAUUGGUAGUAUCAGCUGACCCUACUAAUCCACUGUGUUUCAAAUUUGAGUCC
rnacentral:pre_miRNA from 1 species